AUACUAGCUUUGGCAGUACACAUACUGAAACUAGAAUGAGAAAAAGAUUAGCACGGCUCCCUCACAAGGAUAACAAAUUCAUGAAAUGUUCCAUAUUUUU
ensembl:snRNA U6 U6 spliceosomal RNA